rnacentral:rRNA from 1 species
UUGGAGGGCAAGUCUGGCGCCAGCAGCCGCGGUAAUUCCAGCUCCAAUAGCGUAUAUUAAAGUUGUUGCAGUUAAAAAGCUCGUAGUUGAAUUUCGGGGUUAGUAGGUUGGUCGUGCCUCAGGUAUGUACUGAUCUCACUGAUUCCUCCUUCCUGAUGAACCGUAAUGCCAUUAAUUUGGUGUUGCGGGGAAACUGGACUGUUACUUUGAAAAAAUUAGAGUGUUUAAAGCAGGCUAACGCUUGAAUACAUUAGCAUGGAAUAAUGAAAUAGGACGUUCGAUCCUAUUUUGUUGGUUUCUAGGAUUGACGUAAUGAUUAAUAGGGAUAGUUGGGGGCAUUAGUAUUCAAUUGUCAGAGGUGAAAUUCUUGGAUUUAUUGAAGACUAACUACUGCGAAAGCAUUUGCCAAGGAUGUUUUCAUUAAUCAAGAACGAAAGUUAGGGGAUCGAAGACGAUCAGAUACCGUCGUAGUCUUAACCAUAAACUAUGCCGACUAGGGAUCGGAUGAUGUUAAUUUUUUAAUGACUCAUUCGGCGCCUUACGGGAAA